rnacentral:rRNA from 1 species
AGUGAACGCUGGCGGUAGGCCUAACACAUGCAAGUCGAACGGCAGCACAGUAAGAGCUUGCUCUUACGGGUGGCGAGUGGCGGACGGGUGAGGAAUACAUCGGAAUCUACUUUUUCGUGGGGGAUAACGUAGGGAAACUUACGCUAAUACCGCAUACGACCUACGGGUGAAAGCAGGGGAUCUUCGGACCUUGCGCGUUUGAAUGAGCCGAUGUCGGAUUAGCUAGUUGGCGGGGUAAAGGCCCACCAAGGCGACGAUCCGUAGCGGGUCUGAGAGGAUGAUCAGCCACACUGGAACUGAGACACGGUCCAGACUCCUACGGGAGGCAGCAGUGGGGAAUAUUGGACAAUGGGCGCAAGCCUGAUCCAGCCAUACCGCGUGGGUGAAGAAGGCCUUCGGGUUGUAAAGCCCUUUUGUUGGGAAAGAAAAGCAGCAGGUUAAUACCCCGCUGUUCUGACGGUACCCAAAGAAUAAGCACCGGCUAACUUCGUG